rnacentral:rRNA from 1 species
AUUGAACGCUGGCGGUAUGCUUAACACAUGCAAGUCGAACGGUAACAGGCCUUCGGGCGCUGACGAGUGGCGGACGGGUGCGUAACGCGUAGGAAUCUGCCUGUUAGUGGGGGACAACGUGGGGAAACUCACGCUCAUACAGCAUACGCCCUACGGGGGAAAGCGGGGGACCUUCGGGCCUCGCGCUAACAGAUGAGCCUGCGUGGGAUUAGCUAGUGGGUAGGGUAAAGGCCUACCAAGGCGACGAUCCCUAGCUGGUCUGAGAGGACGAUCAGCCACACGGGGACUGAGACACGGCCCAGACUCCUACGGGAGGCAGCAGUGGGGAAUAUUGGACAAUGGGCGCAAGCCUGAUCCAGCAAUACCGCGUGUGUGAAGAAGGCCUGAGGGUUGUAAAGCACUUUUAAUCGGGAGGAAUAACGGUCGGUCAAUACCCGAUCGUCUGACAUUACCGAUAGAAAAAGCACCGGCUAACUCCGUGCCAGCAGCCGCGGUAACAC